UGCCCUGUGACUUUAUCUUAGCUUCUGUUCUCCUCUUUGCAGAAACCUGGAAGUGGAAACCGUGAGUUGCCGAGAGAGAGAUUCCUGUGGACGUGUCUGUGGGAGCCCUGGCCCUCGCUAACUGAAACUUCUUUGUCUUAAGCCUUGCACCUUUAAUUAUUGCUGAGGAGGUCUACUGCAUCCUGAAGAGCUGCCAGCAAAAGAUUUCUUAAAACAAAUCUCAUUCUUAAACAAAAUCCAGUCAGAUGCUCAGAUGAUCAGCAUUCAGCUCAGCACCCUCCUGUACCUGUUGUGAGGGAGCGGUGCAAGAGCCAAGCUGGCUCAGGCUUCCUGCUGUUUCCUCCCACAGGGC